UGUAGGAGCCGGCUUGCUGGCGAUGGCAUCGACUCGGCUUUUCAGAUGCACCGCGGUGAUGCCAUCGCCAGCAAGCCGGCUCCUACA
rnacentral:misc_RNA from 1 species